rnacentral:rRNA from 1 species
CGGACGGGUGAGUAACGCGUGGUAACCGUGCCUUACACAGGGGGAUAACAUUUAGAAAUAGGUGCUAAUACCGCAUGAGCGCACAGGACCGCAUGGUCGAGUGUGAAAAACUGAGGUGGUGUAAGAUGGACCCGCGUCUGAUUAGCUAGUUGGUGAGGUAACGGCCCACCAAGGCGACGAUCAGUAGCCGGCCUGAGAGGGUGGACGGCCACAUUGGGACUGAGACACGGCCCAAACUCCUACGGAAGGCAGCAG